AUGGGAUUUUUGCUCCUUGUAAUUUUCGCUGUAGCAGCUUUGGAAGGUGUCCGGUCCCAGGUGCAGCUGGUGGAGUCCGGAGGGGAUGUGAAAAAGCCCGGAGACUCUCUCCGCCUCUCCUGCAAAGCCUCCGGGUUCACCUUCAGCAGCUACAAUAUGAACUGGGUCCGACAGGCUCCCGGGAAGGGGCUAGAAUGGGUCGCAUUUAUUUACAGUGAUGGGUCGGGUCCAAGCUACGCUGAUGCAGUCAAAGGCCGAUUCACCAUCUCCAGGGAUAAUCCCAAGAGUGAGCUGUAUCUGCAAAUGACCGGCCUGAAGCCCGAGGACACCGCCCGCUAUUACUGUGCCCGGUCCCAAAUCCAGCUGGUCCAGUCCGGACCGAGCUUGGUGAAGCCCGGAGACAACCUUACCCUGACCUGUACCGUGUCUGUUUACAGUCACCAUUUCUUCUGGUUAUGA